GACGAACGCUGGCGGCGUGCUUAACACAUGCAAGUCGAACGGAAAGGCCCUGCUUUUGUGGGGUGCUCGAGUGGCGAACGGGUGAGUAACACGUGAGUAACCUGCCCUUGACUUUGGGAUAACUUCAGGAAACUGGGGCUAAUACCGGAUAGGAGCUCCUGCUGCAUGGUGGGGGUUGGAAAGUUUCGGCGGUUGGGGAUGGACUCGCGGCUUAUCAGCUUGUUGGUGGGGUAGUGGCUUACCAAGGCUUUGACGGGUAGCCGGCCUGAGAGGGUGACCGGCCACAUUGGGACUGAGGUACGGCCCAGACUCGUACGGGAGGCAGCAGUGGGGAAUAUUACACAAUGGGCGGAAGCCUGAUGCGGCGACGCCGCGUGCGGGAUGACGGCCUUCGGGGUGUAAACCGCUUUCGCCUGUGACGAAGCGUGAGUGACGGUAAUGGGUAAAGAAGCACCGGCUAACUACGUG
rnacentral:rRNA from 1 species